rnacentral:rRNA from 1 species
UGAAGAAUUUAUCCAACGGCGGGGGAUAGCCGGCCCAACGGCCGGGUAAUACCGCGUACGACCCUCGAGGGGCAUCCCUUGAAGGUGAAAGCCGUAAGGCGCCGAUGGAGAACUUCGCGGCCUAUCAGCUAGUUGGUGGGGUCAUGGCUCACCAAGGCGAUGACGGGUAGCUGGUCCGAGAGGAUGACCAGCCACAUUGGGACUGAGACACGGCCCAGACUCCUACGGGAGGCAG